rnacentral:rRNA from 1 species
CCUACGGGAGGCAGCAGUGGGGAAUAUUGGGCAAUGGAGGAAACUCUGACCCAGCGACGCCGCGUGCGGGAUGAAGGCCUUCGGGUUGUAAACCGCUUUCAGCAGGGAAGAAGCGAAAGUGACGGUACCUGCAGAAGAAGCACCGGCUAACUAUGUGCCAGCAGCCGCGGUAAUACAUAGGGUGCAAGCGUUGUCCGGAAUUAUUGGGCGUAAAGAGCUCGUAGGUGGUUCGUCACGUCGGAUGUGAAAAUCUGGGGCUUAACCCCAGACCUGCAUUCGAUACGGGCGAGCUAGAGUGUGGUAGGGGAGACUGGAAUUCCUGGUGUAGCGGUGGAAUGCGCAGAUAUCAGGAGGAACACCAAUGGCGAAGGCAGGUCUCUGGGCCAUUACUGACACUGAGGAGCGAAAGCGUGGGGAGCGAACAGGGAUUAGGAUACCCUGGUAGUCCACGCCGUAAACGGUGGGCACUAGUUGUGGGAACCUUCCACGGUUUCUGCGACGCNGCUACGACAUAGUGCCCGCCGUGGGAGGACGAUCGCAGAUAAACUACAANAGAAGUAGACGCGNGAGACGUGCGACGGACGACGACGAGGGAGGAGG